rnacentral:rRNA from 1 species
GGACCCGCACAAGCGGUGGAGCAUGUGGUUUAAUUCGAUGCAACGCGAAAAACCUUACCUACUCUUGACAUACUUGGAAGCUCUUGUAAUGAGAGUGUGCCUUUUGGAGCCAAGAUACAGGUGCUGCAUGGCUGUCGUCAGCUCGUGUCGUGAGAUGUUCCGUUAAGUCGGAUAACGAGCGCAACCCUUACCCUUAUUUGCCAAUGAUUCGGUCGGGAACUAUAAGGGGACUGCCGGUGAUAAACCGGAGGAAGGUGAGGACGACGUCAAGUCAUCAUGGCCCUUACGAGUAGGGCUACACACGUGCUACAAUGGGGAAUACAGACGGACGCUAAGCCGCGAGGUGGUGCUAAUCCUAGAAAGUUUCUCGUAGUCCGGAUUGGAGUCUGCAACUCGACUCCAUGAAGUCGGAAUCGCUAGUAA